rnacentral:rRNA from 1 species
GUUAAACCGGAGGAAGGUGGGGAUGACGUCAAGUCCUCAUGGCCUUUAUGACCAGGGCUACACACGUACUACAAUGGCCGAUACAAAGGGCAGCGACACUGCGAGGUGAAGCCAACUCCCGUAAAAUCGGUCUCAGUCCGGAUUGGAGUCUGCAACUCGACUCCAUGAAGUUGGAAUCGCUAGUAAUCGUGGAUCAGCAUGCCACGGUGAAUACGUUCCCGGGCCUU